UAUGUGAUCGUCUCUCGCAUAUCAAUAAGCGGAGGAAAAGAAACUAACAAGGAUUCCCCUAGUAACGGCGAGUGUAGCGGGAAGAGCUCAAAUUUGAAAUCUUAAAGGGUUUCCCUUUACGAAUUGUAGUUUAAAGAAGUGUUUUCUGUUGAGGUUUUGGUAAAAGUUCUUUGGAAUAGGACAUCAUAGAGGGUGAGAAUCCCGUAUUUGACCUUUACUUUCAACUUUGUGAUACACUUUCAAAGAGUCGGAUUGUUUGGGAAUGCAGUCCAAAAUGGGUGGUAAAUUUCAUCUAAAGCUAAAUAUUGGCGAGAGACCGAUAGCGAACAAGUACCGUGAGGGAAAGAUGAAAAGAACUUUGAAAAGAGAGUUAAACAGUACGUGAGAUUGUCAAAAGGGAAGCGUUUGACACCAGGGUUGUUUUUCUGAAAAUCAAUUAAAGAACUGUUUAUGCUAAGUUGUUUAGACUUUAUCAGCUAACUGUUUAGUUUUGAGCUUUUCUUUAAUGCACUUUUCAGUUAACAAGUCAACAUCAAUUGCUUUUGCUGUAAAAAAGCUUGAGGAAGGUGGCUUGAGAUUCGUCUUAAGUGUUUACAGCCUCUUGCCUAUGCAGUCGGAGAGAUUGAGGUCUGCAGCGUAGAUCCUUCGGGGCUAAAUGCAUUUGUGCUAAGUUAUAGCAUUUUAUAGACAACUUGUUGACUAUGAUUUGUCUUGUAGCUUACUCGCUUAUGUUAUUUUACCUACGCUUAGGAUGUUGAUCUGUAGUGCGUGCGC
rnacentral:rRNA from 1 species